rnacentral:rRNA from 1 species
UACGUAGGGUGCAAGCGUUAAUCGGAAUUACUGGGCGUAAAGCGUGCGCAGGCGGCUAUGCAAGACAGAUGUGAAAUCCCCGGGCUCAACCUGGGAACUGCAUUUGUGACUGCAUGGCUAGAGUACGGUAGAGGGGGAUGGAAUUCCGCGUGUAGCAGUGAAAUGCGUAGAUAUGCGGAGGAACACCGAUGGCGAAGGCAAUCCCCUGGACCUGUACCGACGCUCAUGCACGAAAGCGUGGGGAGCAAACAGG